rnacentral:rRNA from 1 species
GACGAACGCUGGCGGCGUGCUUAACACAUGCCAGUCGAACGGAAAGGCCCUGCUUUUGUGGGGUGCUCGAGUGGCGAACGGGUGAGUAACACGUGAGUAACCUGCCCUUGACUUUGGGAUAACUUCAGGAAACUGGGGCUAAUACCGGAUAGGAGCUCCUGCUGCAUGGUGGGGGUUGGAAAGUUUCGGCGGUUGGGGAUGGACUCGCGGCUUAUCAGCUUGUUGGUGGGGUAGUGGCUUACCAAGGCUUUGACGGGUAGCCGGCCUGAGAGGGUGACCGGCGACCUUGGGACUGAGAUACGGCCCAGACUCCUACGGGAGGCAGCAGUGGGGAAUAUUGCACAAUGGGCGGAAGCCUGAUGCAGCAACGCCGCGUGCGGGAUGACGGCCUUCGGGUUGUAAACCGCUUUCGCCUGUGACGAAGCGUGAGUGACGGUAAUGGGUAAAGAAGCACCGGCUAACUACGUG